rnacentral:rRNA from 1 species
AGAGUUUGAUCCUGGCUCAGGAUGAACGCUAGCUACAGGCUUAACACAUGCAAGUCGAGGGGAAACGACAUCGAAAGCUUGCUUUUGAUGGGCGUCGACCGGCGCACGGGUGAGUAACGCGUAUCCAACCUGCCCACCACUUGGGGAUAACCUUGCGAAAGUAAGACUAAUACCCAAUGAUAUCUCUAGAAGACAUCUGAAAAGAGAUUAAAAGAUUUAUCGGUGAUGGAUGGGGAUGCGUCUGAUUAGCUUGUUGGCGGGGUAACGCCACAAGGCUACGAUCAGUAGGGUUCUGAGAGGAAGGUCCCCCANAUUGGAACUGGGACACGGUCCAAACUCCUACGGGAGGCA